rnacentral:rRNA from 1 species
UACGGGGGGGGCAAGCGUUGUUCGGAAUUACUGGGCGUAAAGGGCUCGUAGGCGGCCAACUAAGUCGGAUGUGAAAUCCCCAGGCUCAACUUGGGAACUGCAUCCGAUACUGGAUGGCUUGAAUUCGGGAGAGGGAUGCAGAAUUCCAGGUGUAGCGGUGAAAUGCGUAGAUAUCAGGAGGAACACCGAUGGCGAAGGCAGGUCACUGGGCCGCAACUGACGCUGAGGAGCGAAAGCAUGGGGAGCGAACAGG